AGGGGAUACAAGUUCUUACUCUGGUCAUGAAUUUUAUUCGGAACUGUCAGCUCGGGUUUGGUUGGUUGAAAAGCAUCAUUCAGAAGGAACCAAUAAAGAGAGAGGGGGAAUUCCUGCAAAAAGUAAUAAACUAAAAGAAAACCUAAAGGGUAUAAAUGUAAAAUUAAGUCCUUUUACUCUCUCCAGUUGAACUACCUAGAGAAAACCAUUUUAAAUCACAAUUUCAGAAGAUUUUAAAAAUUCAACUCUACCUAAAGACAUCAUAAAAUGGCUCAUUAUUCCAUCAUCCAGGUCAUAUCGUCUAAUAACAGAAAUCAGAGAGAAGUACCAGGAUCAUAAUUACAGAGAGAAGUUUGACCAAAUCCCUUUCUGUAAAAAUGUUAAAUAUAAAUAUAUGUCUUCUAUGUUUUUGUCCUAACCCUAAAUACUAAAUAUUUACUGGGAAGUCUCUUAAUCUGUGAAAGACUGCAUUCAUUUACAUUAAAUAAAAUAUGGGAAUUGCUAAAUUUUAAAUUCAGUAUUCCCUAUGAAAAACUAAACUUAGGAAAAGUAAAUUUUUUAUGAAUUUUGCCACAACUGCUCAUUUGGGGAAUAAAAAUCAGAACUCUGAAAUUUUAGCUUUAAAAACCAAUAUUGUCUUUGAAAGCUAAUGAUCAAGUGAUGAUUUUGUUUUCUAGCCAUUUAAUAAUAACCUUGGCGUUCUUUUUCGGGUUCAUAUGCCUUGCACAAUCUUUGACCAAAACCAAAAUUCUCACCUACUUUCUAUGUAAUAAAUCAUUAGGAAUUAUGAAAAAGAGAGAAAAGAAUUAACGUUAUCCAAGUUUAUAACUAUUGGAUGGGCAUUCUGCUAGAAUGCUUCUUAUGCUUUAUGCUUCUUAUCAUAUUAAUGCUCCAGUAUUAUAUACGAUAGAAAAUAAAAGUUAAUCUAGUAAUAUAUAAUGUUAAAUUCAACUAAAUUUGGCCUGAGGAUGUCUCCAAACGUGUGUUCUUCCUUAAACAACUGGGCUGGAACUUAGUACAUAAGCUAACUAAAAGCCUAACCUAGGAGUGCAAUUUUGUAACAAAUAGCUGAAUCUCAGCCAAUCAUAGCAGCCGAGCUUUAGUCAAUUGCAAGCUGCCAAUUGUUCAAACCUGCUCAAAUAAGACAAAGGCUGCUGUAACCAACUGAGCUGUCUUGGUAUGUCACUUCUGUUUUCUGUGUUCUGUCCAUAAAUGCUGUCUGAUCACAUGGCAGACUGGAGUUCUUUGAACCUGUUCUGGUUCUGAGGGCUGCCAGAUUCUAGAGGCAUGAAUAAAAAUAAAUUAAGACUGUUAAACUGAAUUUGUGGUAAUUUUGUCUUGUAAAGUAAUAAUGGUAUUUUUUAAAUGGUUUGAAAAAAAUUAAAGAGUUUCACCCUAGAUUUCUAAAAUGCGGUCUCUCAGCA
rnacentral:lncRNA from 10 species